AGGAACAUCUAGCCUGGUUUCUCACUGCCAGCGUGCGCCAGGCCUGGACGGGUGCCUUCAUCUCACUCCACUCCAGGACUCCAAGAGCGAGAGACAGUUGCUGUCCCCCUCCACUUCACACAGGAGGGGACGGGGCACAGACAGGUUGGAUGACCCAACGUCGUGCAGCCGGUGUCGCUGGAACUUGCAGUGGGGAGUCUGACCUGGAGGGUACAACAGGAAGAAACCAAUCAAUAAUGGACUGUGAGCCCAAACAAACCUUUCCACUUUAUAAGCUGAUGACCUCUGGUGUUUUAUUAUAGUGACAGAAAGCUGACCAGCACCUCUUCUAAGAGACUUGGCUUGGUUUGUAACCUGGAGAAAUGCAGACUAUUUCCCAUUCCACACCCAACACACCACAGACCCUGCGGCCUCGACCGUCAGCCUGCGAUCGUCCCCUCCCCACGGAGCUCUGAGAAGCGUUGCCUCGAUGCUCCUUCGACAGAGGAGGAAACUGAGGUCCCAAGAGGCCGAGAACCCCGCCCAAGGGCCCAGAGCUGGAGAGUUCCAAGCUGGGCAGCGGCCAUGGAUCCCGGCCCCGGAGGUGACCUGACCCUCACUUCCUCAGUGGGGACAGUGCCCCUCGGAGCCAUGCCACGCUCUGCACUUGGGAAAGCUGAUGCGGGUGAACAGCGGAGUCAGGGGGGCUUCCCACUGUCCCCCGUGGGCCACCCACUCAGGAUUUUGAAUAUUAAACCUUGACCUUGGCUCUGAGCCGGGAGCAGGGAAGCGCCGUCUGCUCCUGGGGCCCCGCCGCGCCCUCCUGAGCGGGCGUCUCUGCUGCAGCCUGCCCUGUGCCCCGCGGCCUUGGAACCGAGGUUCUGUGUGGGUAGAGGCUGGCGGACAGGGAAAGGCCUUGACAUUGCAGGGUCCUCCAGAACCUGCCCAGACGCAGAGGGAGCCGUGCCCUUGAGGGGACUGGCCAGGGGCCGAUGAGGUCAGGGUUCAGAGGACGCUGCGGAUCCCGGGUGUCGGAGCAGCGGGCAGGCGCCCAGGCAGGAUGGGGAGACGCCGUCCAACCAGCAGCUCCGGUGCUGUGCCCCUGGAAGCCACCUCUUUCUGUUCCUGAACAGACCUCAGAUCUGAUCUCUCUCCAGCCCGUCCAGCCCCGUCCAGCCCCGUCCUGCCGUGGGAGCUGGCCUGGAUCCCUGAGAUGAGCCCACGGAUUUACUUUCAUUUGAUUUCCAUCCAACAAACAUGUAAAGACGGGGACACACGCACUGGGUGACAAGGAGGGCAAGGAGCACCGGCCGCAGUCCCGCCUCGGGGCAAAGGGUCUGCCCCCGGGGCCAGCUGCCUGGGUCUGCAGGUCCACCCCACCAAGGACAACUCAGUGGGCAGCUGUGACCCUCCUCUCCUGACCUCUGCAUAGAGGGAAGCAGCACAGGGGACAGCGUCCCGCUGAGCCAGCUCAUGACCGACCAGGUCAGGGGCAGGCACACGGGGACAGCACGUGGGCUCUGUUGUUAUGUUAUCCACAGUGCCUGGGAAACUGUCCCCGAGCCACCAGCAGGAGCAAGGCACAGGCAGCUAGGAGUCUCGAGGUGGCCCUUCCAAAGCAGCCACA